rnacentral:rRNA from 1 species
GGAGUUUGGACCGUCUCUCAGUUCCAAUGUGGCCGAUCACCCUCUCAGGUCGGCUACCGAUCGUCGCCUUGGUGGGCCGUUACCUCACCAACUAGCUAAUCGGACGCGAACUCACCUCUUACCGGAUCGCUCUUUUCACACUCUCUCAUGCGAGAAGUGCGCUUAUGCGGUAUUAGCAGUCGUUUCCAACUGUUGUCCCCCUGCAUACGGCAGGUUACCCACGCGUUACUCACCCGUCCGCCACUAAGAUUUAACUAAGAUUUGUACCGAAGUCUCCUCAGCGUUAAAUCUCCGUUCGACUUGCAUGUGUUAAGCACGCCGCCAGCGUUCAUC